rnacentral:rRNA from 1 species
ACGUGUGGAGCUGACUGAUACUAAUCGAUCGAGGACUUAACCUUA